rnacentral:lncRNA from 1 species
CCAGGAAUUAAAAUAUGAGAAUUUAAAAACAAUAAAAUGAGAAGUUUAUUGCUUUUCUAAAUACUUUGGAACAAGAACAAUGAGCUUACGCAUCAUGUUUUCUUGGUGCCUUCAUAAUCACUUUUGUUCCAAAUUCUAAUUACAAAUUCAUAAUGAGAAAUACAAUGCAGAGUAUAAUAGACCUUGAUCAAUGUAGUGUGGUGGAAAAAUAUCAAAGACUUUGAACCAGACACUACAGGCCUUCUGUCUCUUCUACCUAAUUUCCUCAUCUGUAUAGUAUAUAGUAAUAAUGAAGGGGACAAGUACUGUGUUAGAAAGGCAGUCCAGAAACAAUUAAUGUCAUACAUCAUGUGUGAAUCCACCUGACAGGAAACUCCAUCUGCAGCCUCCUCCGAAUGCUGCUUAGAAGGCCAGCUGACCUAGACCAAAGCUCAAAGACAAGCCAGUGCACUAAGAUUCACAGGUACAUUUGUAAUAAAUAUGUUUC